rnacentral:lncRNA from 1 species
UGUAAUCUUAUUGUUAAUAGUGUUGUAGUUCUCAAUCAGGCAUGGCGGGGGCUUCGCAGCACCUUUCAUCAAGUUUUAUUUAUCCUGGGUGCGCGCGGGGCCGCGCACUUCCUAGCGAGCCAGUACAUUCAUUGCGGCCGAUGUUGCAUAUGGUCAUACAUGCAUCCUCACAUUCGCCUUCCCGGUGUCCUUAACAUUAUCUGAGAAGAUGGAAGCUAUGACUCAGAUCCGCAAGAGGGGGACCCCGGCCUCACUCCUGUGCAGCCGGCAGGCGAAGGCGUUGCUAAAGCUAACCACCAUUAGGACCGUUAAACGAGCGGAUGGACGUCAUUGGCCGAG